UUUAUCGCCAUUGGAGCGGCCCGCGUUGGAUUAGCUAGUUGGUGGGGUAAUGGCCCACCAAGGCGACGAUCCAUAGCUGGUCUGAGAGGAUGAUCAGCCACACUGGGACUGAGACACGGCCCAGACUCCUACGGGAGGCAGCAGUAGGGAAUCUUGCGCAAUGGGCGAAAGCCUGACGCAGCCAUGCCGCGUGAAUGAUGAAGGUCUUAGGAUUGUAAAAUUCUUUCACCGGGGACGAUAAUGACGGUACCCGGAGAAGAAGCCCCGGCUAACUUCGUG
rnacentral:rRNA from 1 species